UUAGAGAUAGAAGCUCCUCCUUCUCUCUAGAAGGAAGAGUCACCGCCGCUGCCUCUUUCCGGCGCCGUCGCCGUCGCCGUCCCUCUCUCUCUCUCUCCCGAUUUAGAUAGAUCGUGAAACUGUAUUCAUCCGGAGCACCUCGGCGUCGUCGUCGCCCCCUUUCUUCCACCACAAGCAGCAACUUUUCUUUUCCUGUACCCAAUGUGGCUGCAGUCCUUGUAUCUUUCUUUGAAGCUCGAACAUAAUUUGACAAUGUGGAAGAAUCUUUUCUUUUU